rnacentral:lncRNA from 1 species
CAUAUUCCGGAUUAAAACAAAACCCAAAAUAUCCUCAACGUUAUCAUGAAAAUUACGAGCAAUUUAUUUGUUAAAAGAUAACAUGACUAUAUAACGUGAGAGACGUAACUACCAAUCGCAAACGUGGUUGAUAACGCAGGAAUAUCGAUUAUAUUCUAAUGUAGAGGUCAAAUAGAAUUCUAUCAAAUUGGAUUGAAAUCAAAUGGAGCGAUAAAAAAGAAAAAAGUUAACUAUUAAAUAUAAUAAAUCAUAGAAAAAGAAAAAAAUCAAUGAGAGAUUUUCUAAAUGCGUGAUUACAAAAUUCGUGUUAAUAUUACAUAUAUAAAUAAAACUUCACACGCGAUACAAAAUAAUAAUUAUGAAUGAAACUAGUAAAAGAAGAAACUCGAUUAAACAAAGUUACAAAGUGGUACAUGUAUAUAAAACACGUGUCAUUAAAUUCAAACGUAUUGUCUGCAUUUUAUUGCGUGACUUCAAAAGGAUAAGAAUGAAAGAGAGAAUAAUUCAGAUGAAUAAAAUAAAAGAGAGAGAGAGAGAAUGAGUUUUGUUAGAAAAAGUUCAUCCUAACGUAUUAAUAUAAUACCUACCUGUCUUCAUCCUCGAUCACAUCUACCAUGUCGAUCAUGACCAUUUUUUGUUAAUAUUAAAAUCGCUUCUUUGAAAA